rnacentral:rRNA from 1 species
AGAGUUUGAUCAUGGCUCAGGACUAACGCUGGCGGCGUGCCUAACACAUGCAAGUCGAACGAAGUAGCAAUACUUAGUGGCAGACGGGUGAGUAACGCGUAGUCAAUCUACCUCUGUGUGGGGGAUAACUAGCCGAAAGGUUAGCUAAUACCGCAUACGAUCGCCGAGAGGCAUCUCUUGGCGAUGAAAGGAGCAAUCCG